AACAGGUCUGUAGUUUGUAAAAUGAUGCUUGUUCCCAGUUUUGUAUAUCGGUAUGACUUUUGCUAUUUUCAUUUUGAUUGGUAAAGUACCGGUUUGGAAAGAUAAAUUACAGAUGGAUGCUAAAGGUUUGUAGAU